UACGUAGGGUGCGAGCGUUAAUCGGAAUUACUGGGCGUAAAGCGUGCGCAGGCGGUUCGUUGUGUCGGUGGUGAAAGCCCCGGGCUUAACCUGGGAAUGGCCAUGGAAACUGGCGAACUGGAGUGUGGCAGAGGGGGGUGGAAUUCCACGUGUAGCAGUGAAAUGCGUAGAGAUGUGGAGGAACACCGAUGGCGAAGGCAGCCCCCUGGGCCGACACUGACGCUCAUGCACGAAAGCGUGGGGAGCAAACAGG
rnacentral:rRNA from 1 species